GACGAACGCUGGCGGCGUGCUUAACACAUGCAAGUCGAACGGAAAGGCCCUGCUUUUGUGGGGUGCUCGAGUGGCGAACGGGUGAGUAACACGUGAGUAACCUGCCCUUGACUUUGGGAUAACUUCAGGAAACUGGGGCUAAUACCGGAUAGGAGCUCCUGCUGCAUGGUGGGGGUUGGAAAGUUUCGGCGGUUGGGGAUGGACUCGCGGCUUAUCAGCUUGUUGGUGGGGUAGUGGCUUACCAAGGCUUUGACGGGUAGCCGGCCUGAGAGGGUGACCGGCCACAUUGGGACUGAGAUACGGCCCGAACUCCUACGGGCGGCAGCAGUGGGGAAUAUUGCACAAUGGGCGGAAGCCUGAUGCAGCAACGCCGCGUGCGGGAUGACGGCCUUCGGGUUGUAAACCGCUUUCGCCUGUGACGAAGCGUGAGUGGCGGUAAUGAGUAGAGAAGCACCGGCUAACUACGUG
rnacentral:rRNA from 1 species